rnacentral:rRNA from 1 species
UACGUAGGGGGCAAGCGUUAUCCGGAUUUACUGGGUGUAAAGGGAGCGUAGACAGCCAGACAAGUCUGAAGUGAAAAUCCAGCGCUUAACGUUGGAAGUGCUUUGGAAACUGCCGGGCUAGAGUGCAGGAGGGGCAGGCGGAAUUCCUAGUGUAGCGGUGAAAUGCGUAGAUAUUAGGAGGAACACCAGUGGCGAAGGCGGCCUGCUGGACGAUGACUGACGUUGAGGCUCGAAAGCGUGGGGAGCAAACAGG